rnacentral:piRNA from 1 species
UGUAGUUCGCAGAUCCUCUUUCCACCU